AUGGUCCGGGGGGCGGCGGACGCCUGGUAGGCGCUCGGGCCGUUGUUGUGGGGCUGCGCGCUGGCGCUGCAGGGCGGGAUGCUGUACCCAAGAGAGAGGCCGUCGCGGGAGCGGAAGAAGCUGGACCGCCUCUGGAGCUUCCGCGCCGACUUCUUCGACAAACUGUGCCUUGGCUUCUAGGAGUAGUGGUAUCGGCGUCUGCUGCGAGAGUCGGGCUCCACCAUGGACAUACCGGUUCCCUCCAGCUUCAACGACGUUGGCCAGGACUGGCGGCUGCGGCAUUUUGUAGACCAGAUGUGGUACGAACGGGAGGUGACCUUCCUGGAGCAAUGGACCCAGGACCUGCACACAAGAGUGGUACUGAGGAUUGUCAGUGCCCACUCCUAUGCCAUCGUGUGGGUGAAUGGGGUCGACGCGCUAGAGCAUGAGGGAUCUACCUCCCCUUUGACACCGACAUCAGUAGCCUGUUCCAGGUGGGGCCCCUGCCCUCCCGCCUCCGCAUCACUAUCACCAUCGGCAACAUGCUCAUCUCCUCCACCCUGCCACCAGGGAGCAUCCUCGACAUGGCCGACACCUCC
rnacentral:lncRNA from 1 species